GACGAACGCUGGCGGCGUGCUUAACACAUGCAAGUCGAGCGAUGAAGUUCCUUCGGGAAUGGAUUAGCGGCGGACGGGUGAGUAACACGUGGGUAACCUGCCUCAUAGAGGGGAAUAGCCUUUCGAAAGGAAGAUUAAUACCGCAUAAGAUUGUAGUUUCGCAUGAAACAGCAAUUAAAGGAGUAAUCCGCUAUGAGAUGGACCCGCGUCGCAUUAGCUAGUUGGUGAGGUAACGGCUCACCAAGGCGACGAUGCGUAGCCGACCUGAGAGGGUGAUCGGCCACAUUGGGACUGAGACACGGCCCAGACUCCGACGGGAGGCAGCAGUGGGGAAUAUUGCACAAUGGGGGAAACCUUGAUGCAGCAACGCCGCGUGAGUGAUGACGGUCUUCGGAUUGUAAAACUCUGUCUUCAGGGACGAUAAUGACGGUACCUGAGGAGGAAGCCACGGCUAACUACGUGCCAGCCGCCGCGGUAA
rnacentral:rRNA from 1 species